GUUACGACUCCUAUACGGCAAACAUCUCUCGGCAGUAACCAAAAUUUUUUUCUAUUUAUCCUACUUCCGUAAACAGGCUAAUAAACUAUUUGCUGCAAGAUGUGUAAUCCUCGCAUAUGCUCGAUGCCUGGAACGUGUUGCGGACCAACUGGCGGUUUGGGUCCCUGCGGUCUGUGUGGAGCGUAUAACGGACAAUGGUUCAAAGCAAUUAACCAUUGUUGCGGCCCCUGUGGACCCUACGGCUGUUGCGCAUGCUGUGGGCCAUGUGGUGGACCAUGUUGUUAGCCUGCUUAGAAGGAAUGUAGGAUUCUAAAAAGCAUUGAAAACUGGUUAUGGUGGCCCCGAAUGGGGAGCGAUGCACGGCCUGUGGGCACUCAACAAUCAAUACCCACAAUAGGCCAUAGCCUACAAUUUGCUAGCGAGGCAUUUUUUUUGCUGUCAAAGCCAAAAGUGAAAUUUUUUGGUUAUGCCUAGGAAAUAAGAGAAACAAAAAUUCAUAGUAAAAACAUAAUAAUUAAAA